UCCUUUAGCCAACUCAGUUUGAAAUGACAAUUGCCAUUUUGAAAUUAAUUGUCAGUAAAUCACAACAGGAAUCAGUAAAUUUACGUCGUCAGUCCGUGCGUGCGUCAACAAUUUCUUCUCUGCACGAUAGUGGCUACAUUUAUGAUUUUAUUUUAACCAAACUUGCACACAACUUGUAUCACCAUAAGAUCUCGGUUCCUUUCUUGAACUGGCCAGAUCCCAUUAUGGGUUCCAGAGUUAUGGCCCCUGCAAGGGCCAAAAUUAGCUAUUUUGAGCUUGUCUGGUCAAUAGCAGCUUGAUUUAUGAUUUGAUUUUUACCAAACUUGCACACAACUUGUAUCACCAUAGGAUCUUGGUUCCUUUCUGGAACUGGCCAGAUUCCUUUAUGGGUUCCAGAGUUACGGCCCCUGAAAGGCCCAAAAUUGGCUAUUUUGACCUUGACUGCACAAUAGCAGCUUCAUUUAUGAUUUGAUUUUAACCAACUUGCACAAAACUUGUGUCACCAUAAGAUCUUGGUUCCUUUCUUGAACCGACCAGAUCCCUUAAUGGUUUCCAGAGUUAUGGCCCCUGAUAGGGCCGGAAUUAGCUAUUUUGACCUUGUCUGCACAAUAGCAGCUUCAUUAAUGAUAUCUUGGUUCCUUUCUUGAACCGGCCAGAUCACAUAAUGGGUUCCAGAGUUAUGGCCCCUUAAAGGGCCAAAAUUGGCUGUUUUGACCUUGUCUGCACAAUAGCAGCUUCAUUUAUGAUUUGAUUUUAACCAAACUUGCCGCAACUGAUAUCACCAUAAGAUCUCGAUUCUUUUUUUAUACGCCUGCAGGGACGUAUUAUGUUAUCGCCUCGGUGUCCGUCUGUCUGUCUGUGUGUUGGUUAGCAAUUUACCUUCUGCUCUAUAACUCUUGAACCCCUUGAUGGAUUUCAGAGAAACCUGACACAAAUGUUCACUCAUUGAAAGGAUGUGCAGAGUGCAUGUUUCGGAUGGCUAAAUUCAAUGUCAAGGUCACACUUAGGGGUCAAAGGUCAUAUGACUUUGUUUUAUGUGAAUAUUGCUCUGCAUUUGCGUUGCAUUGCAGUGCUCUUGUUUUUAUUUGGCAGAUCCUUCUUUUGUUUGCUUACAAUAUUUUUUUUUAUUACUUCCCUUUUAUGUUACUAUAAAUAGCUUAUUUAGUAACUUUUUAGCUCACAUGUCACAAAGUGACAGUGUGAGCUUUUGUGAUCGCGCAGCGUCCGUCGUCCGUCCGUGCGUCCAUCCGUGCGUCCGUGCGUAAACUUUUGCUUGUGACCUCUCUAGAGGUCACAUUUUUCAUGGGAUCUUUAUGAAAGUUGGUCAGAAUGUUCAUCUUGAUGAUAUCUAGGUCAAGUUCGAAACUGGGUCAUGUGUGGUCAAAAACUAGGUCAGUAGGUCUAAAAAUAGAAAAACCUUGUGACCUCUCUAGGGGCUAUAUUUUUCACAAGAUCUUCAUGAAAAUUGGUCAGAAUGUUUACCUUGAUGAUAUCUAAGUCAAGUUCGAAACUGGGUCACGUGCCAUCAAAAACUAGGUCAGUAGGUCAAAUAAUAGAAAAACCUUGUGACCUCUCUAGAGGCCAUAUUUUUCAUGGGAUCUGUAUGAAAGUUGGUCUCAAUGUUCAUCUUGAUGAUAUCUAGGUCAAGUUCCAAACUGGGUCAGCUGCGGUCAAAAACUAGGUCAUUAGGUCUAAAAAUAGAAAAACCUUGUGACCUCUCUAGAGGCCAUACUUUUGAAUGGAUCUUCAUGAAAAUUGGUCAGAAUGUUCACCUUGAUGAUAUCUAGGUCAAGUUCGAAACUGGGUCACGUGCCCUCAAUAACUAGGUCAGUAGGUCAAAUAAUAAAAAAACCUUGUGACCUCUCUAGAGGCCAUAUUUUUUAUGGGAUCUGUAUGAAGGUUGGUCAGAAUGUUCAUCUUGAUGAUAUCUAGGCCAAGUUCGAAACUGGGUCAACUGUGGUUAAAAACUAGGUCAGUAGGUCUAAAAAUAAAAAAAACUUGUGACCUCUCUAGAGGCCAUAUUUUCAUAAGAUCUUCAUGAAAAUUGGUCUGAAUGUUCACCUUGAUGAUAUCUAGGUCAAGUUCGAAACUGGGUCAUGUGCCUUCAAAAACUAGGUCAGUAGGUCAAAUAAUAGAAAAACCUUGUGACCUCUCUAGAGGCCAUAUUUUUCAUGGGAUCUGUAUGAAAGUUGGUCUGAAUGUUCAUCUUGAUGAUAUCUAGGUCAAGUUUGAAACUGGGUCAGCUGCGGUCAAAAACUAGGUCAUUAGGUCUAAAAAUAGAAAAACCUUGUGACCUGUCUAGAGGCCAUACUUUUGAAUGGAUCUUCAUGAAAAUUGGUCAGAAUGUUCACCUUGAUGAUAUCUAGGUCAAGUUUGAAACUGGGUCACGUGCCAUCAAUAACUAGGUCAGUAGGUCAAAUAAUGAAAAAACCUUGUGACCUCUCUGGAGGCCAUAUUUUUCAUGGGAUCUGUAUGAAGGUUGGUCUGAAUGUUCAUCUUUAUGAUAUCUAGGUCAGGGUCACAUGAGCUCAAAAACUAGGUCACUAUGUCAAAUAAUAGAAAAAAAAGGACGUCAUACUCAGUUCAAAACUGGGUCAUGUUGGGACAGGUGAGCGAUUCAGGACCAUCAUGGUCCUCUUGUUUAUUAUUGGCCGUAGGGAAAAACUGAGACCACUUUUCUGUGGUACAACAUUGGUACCUCCAAUUUUUAGGUGUAUUUUGACAUAUCUGUACCUUGUAAGAAUUUUUUCUUUUUGUUUUUGGUUAAAGCAAUGGUACUCAGGUGAGCGAUAUAGGGCCAUCAUGGCCCUCUUGUUUAUUUUCUUUUAUUUUUUUUCUCAGAUUCCUUUGAUAACAGCUAAAACAUUUCAGAUUCAGAGAUGUUAAUUGAUCACAUGUUUGACUUCGUGGGAGUGUAAUAAAGCCAAUGAAUAAAAAUGAUAAUACAUUAGAGUAUUAAAGUUUUGAUGUCGAUAUUGUUUAAAAUAUAUAUGAGAAUUGGUCAAACUGACUUGUUUCUAUAGUGAAAGAAAGUAGAUUUUUUGUUGUUUCAAUAGGAAACGCUAACAUGUACCGUAAUUAAUGCUUGGCAGAGCCUCGCAUUUCUUUAUAUUAUUCAACUUGUUUAAAAAUUCAAUAUGAAAAGACACUUAUGUAAUAUCCUUUAUAAUAUCCUUUAUCAAAGUGCUGUUACGGAUCUCACGUGCAAUCAUAAGAAAAUAGAAAGUUUUAGACCAACUUUGCUAAAUAAAUAAGCACUUCUGUGAAGAAAACAAAGAACCUGCUUGUAAAUGAACUUCAUCUUUUAAAAGAUUUUUUCCAAACAUGCGACAGCGCUGCACUGCAAAUUAUGCUCGGUAUUAUGACAAUACAACACUUAGAUAAAGCUUCAUUCCAAUAUGGUGGCUUCUAGCAAAUUAAUUACAUCUUUUUUUCUAAGUCUUAGCAUCUGUAUUAGUACUUGUUUUAUAUUUCUAAAAUAAUUAACAUUUUAUCUUGGCCAAUAAAACAAACAAAAUGCUGUUAAAUGCAGUUAUUUUACAUAGUACAUUAAAUUCAUACAUGUAGUACAUUUUUUCGUAUUUAAAAAAAAAAACAUUUAUGGAAUCCUUGUUUAGGUUCUCAUCAUUUUCACUGAGUCUGUUAGAGCUUAACAGAAACAGUCACUUUUGCAGAUUCAAUAUUAUUUCCAUAUAUCAAUCAAUAACAAAAGCGCUUGUAUCAUCCAGGCUGUUAUUAGAAGAACUGGAAUGGUUGUUCAACUCCUUUUUUGCAGUCUGUUAAAUGUCUCUUACUUCCUACUCGUACCCACUUCCCUUGUCAACAGAAAUAACAAUGUCUGUCUUAAAACUUCCAUCAUUUUGAAUAGGACAAGUAUAUAUGCGCUGGGGAAAAUAUUACAUGAUGGACCUGUGAAUUCUUUACUUAUUUGUGAAACAGGUCUCAUAAGCGUAAAUACGACUAGUUAUUACUGGUAUACACUCCAGACACCUGAAAUGAUAAACUUGACAAGUAGUUGAUUAAGUUACACUUUUCAUCUUAUAGGAAAUCAGUCACAAUAUUUGAAACUUAUGUUUCUGGAAUCUUGUAUAAGUAUGUACAUUUUAACUGAGAUGCUGAGCUCCAUUUUUUUCAUCAAUAACAUGUUCAGUCAAAUGGUUCAAUUUUGGCUUCAAAUAGAGGUAUAUGUACAGGUAACAAAAGCGGUAACAACAUUUAUGUCGCAUUUGUUAUUGCGAUUAGAAUAAUAAAGUUAAACUUUUACUUUUAAUAUUUUAGACUUGGAAUUGUUGCAUUGCUUAAUUCAUUCUACUAACAGAGUAGAUUAUAACAGUUACUAAUGUCACCGAGUGUGAGCUGUUUACAUAAAAUAUUUAACAAAAACUAUGUUUAUGACAAUAAAUCAUAGCUUUUCCUCAGCAAAUAUCAUAUACAUUGUUAACAUCAGGUACAUAGCAGUACAACUACAAGUACAUAAUUUGAUUACCGCACCGCCAGGGGUCCGUUUGUUUGUUUUAUUUAUUUAUUUUUUUGGGGGGAGGGGGGGUGGUUAACGUCGCACCGACACAAUUAUAGGUCAUACGGCGACUUUCCAGCUUUGAUGGUGCCCCAUCCGUGCAUUAUUUCAUCAAGAGCAGGCACCUGGGUAGAACCACCGACCUUCUGUAAGCCAGCUGUGUCACAAAUUGACAUACGGGCCUUAUUUUAUAUGUAUUGUAAAUGCAGGUAUUGCAUCAUCUUUUUGUAAAUUUUUGAGUUAUUGAGGUAAAUGUCAGAUUUCACGCAUGAAAUACCUCUCAUGUUUUUCUGUAUUUCAUAACUUAAAUUUCCAUGUAAAUUUCAUUAAAUUCUGUUCAGUAAUAAGAAAGUUGAUAUUUUAUAAACUUCAGUAAUUUAUGUUUUUAUCCCCAAAACCACUAUAAUGGGCCUCAAAUUGUCAAUUUAAAUCCGCGCCAAAGUAGUUAGAUUCCCCGGCUAUAUCGUGAAUCCCGUGGAAACACAAAUAGUCGGAGUCCAUGGCUUAGCCGUGAAUCCUAUGAAAUUUAGUAUUUGGCGGGACAUUAUCCUUUAAAUAGACUGGACUAGAUAUGCCUUGCGCACACCACCUUACGACUUUAUAGACGAAUCUAUGUCUGAAUUAUUUUCUUGCUAGAAAUUUAUGCUCGAUCGAGCUUCUUCCGCCAGACGAUUUUUCCUGGUGAUGUCAUAACCCGGAAGUACAAUGCCCGAGGUUCACUUGUCUUCACUCGCCUGGAUGUGAUAUUCCCAGCGCAGAGCUUUCGUCCCAUGGUUGUGCCGUAAACCGCAAAGACGAUGAUUUUUGUUAUCCUCUGAAGUCAGCUCAGGGAUGCAAUCACCUACCACCAUAGGGAGCCAACACGGAAUCAACGUAUUCACGGUUUAAAGGGACUGUAUUUUGAAUUUAGAAGCUACGUUUUGUUUGUGCUACUUAAAGUUCACAAUUACAUUAAAGACCUGUGUCACGUCAGAUUAGAAUGGACUAUAAGAACUUUUGUAUCUAGAGAUACUGAACUUUCUUUUUUUUUUCUUAUAAUCAGUUUUUUUUUUUGUUUUUUUUUCUUCAUAUCAUCUAUUCAUUGUAAAUAAGCAUCUUUUGUAAAUAAAUUUGUAAAUAUUGUAAAGGGUGUUGAUUUGUUCUGAUGGUUACUGUCGCCGGUACGGCCUUUCCUGUCACAAGCUGGAUGGCUUCCUCACAUGAAGAAUUCAACACCCCGAGUGAGGCUCGAACCCACAUCGAUGAGGAGCAAGUGAUUUGAAGUCAGGGACUUUAACCACUUGGCCAUGGAGGCCCAAGGGGUCCGUUUGUCAUUACCGACCCCUAGCCUGCAUGUAAUGAAACUAAUUUACAAGUCAGUUUACAUGCUGGCUGCACAUAAAUUCUAUUUUCAUAAGAUGAAAACAUAUUUUACAGACAAAGUACGUGGUUGAUUAAAACAUGUUUUGCAAACUAAGUACGUGGUUUGCAGUAUAAAAACAAAUUAUACAUGAUAUACGGACACAUACAACCACCACUUUUUUAGUCAGUUUUGAUAACAGAUGAAAGUCAUGUUUAUCAUCAUGAAACGGUCUCAGAAAAAAUGUGCAGCCUAAACCGGGACUCGAACCUAUGGCUUACCAUGCCUACGCUCUUCCAAUUGAGCUACAAUGGCCGACCAGUACGAGAACCGCUACACACCUUUCCACUUAUCGCAAGAAAAUUGGCUCUCUUUGCUAAUGUCUGAUGCAGACUAUUAACCGAAUUCAGAUGCACACCCCAGUCAAAGUGCUUUGUUCCGCAUGGGCCCCAAGAGUGAACAUGUCAGUAAGAACCUCCAAAUGUAACAGUCUAAGGAAAAGUUGUGCAAACUAGACCCGAACUUAAUGCGCCAACGCUCUACCAACUGAGCUUAUAGGACACCCGAUAAUAGAACUUAUACGUAAUAUGUGAAUAAAUGACAAAUCGAUUGUUCGUUUGACCAUAAAAUGUAGUGAUAAAGAUUUAUAGAGUGUUAAAUUCAUGUUCUAGCUUUUGACACAAAACAUGUGUGCUAAACUUUUUUUCUGCUACAUAUAUUUGAUUAAUUUUAAAUUCAAUAUGACUUGUUAAUUUACAAAAAAAGGAAGAUUUCCGUAGCUACUUUAGAGACAUUACGCAGCCAUUCAAUAAAAAAAAAAAAAAUGAAAAUGAAAUUUUAGUCCCAUUCAAAUACAGUAUAGUCAGUAGGCUCUUUGAAAAACAGUGUAUAAUUUCCAGUCUGUGCACUUUCCUGUCUUAAAACUCUCUAAGAUGUGCAUGCAACAAAAUAAGCUAGGUUUAAAACAUGAAAGCUAGCAUUUGAAUCUGCAAUUAUAAGUUAUGGAUUCAGGUGUAAGCAAGUCACGACAAGUGUUUGCUGAACGGCGAACGUUAUACUUCACGAACCUUUUCUGCUAUAACUUUUGGUUUAUCUCCACGGUUAGGUAAUCCACAUUCAAGCCAGAGUUUCAGCUCAAAUACUGAAUGCUCAUUUAUAUCAUUUGAGUGAAACUUCGCCCUUGGAAUACGGUUUCUGUCAAGUUUUUAUUUGGAAUAGUUUCUCAGAAGCAAUUGUGUUUGUUGUGUAUAUCAACUUAAUCAAGCAGUAUACAUGACAUAUAUCGAUGACGUCACUGGCGACUGCAUUCUAAAAAUAGCCGUUAAUAUAAAAAUAGCCGUAAAUAGUCCUGAUGAUAUUCAUGCACUUUGUUAUAGCUGCACUAAUUUUUUUUUUAUUUGCUGUUUUGCACUAAAAAGUGUAGUGGUUUUCGUUUACCGUCAAUUAUUCCAUUGAGUCAGAGCAAAGCCCCGACCAAAAAACCAGUCAUUCACUAGACACAUCUUUUCUGGAAAAUAGUAAUUCUCUAGACACAUUUUUUUUUCAGAAAUUAGUCAUUCUCUAGACAUACCUUUUCCAGAAAUAAUCAUUUUCUAAACACAUCUUUUCCAUAAAUUAUCAGUCUCAAGACACACCUUUUCCAGAAAAUAGUCAUUCACUAGACGCACCUUUUCCAGAAAAUAGUCAUUCACUAGGCACACCUUUUCCAGAAAGCAGUCAUUCUCCAGACACACUUUUUCCAGAAAAAGUCAUUCACUAGACACUUUAUCCAGAAGACAGUCAUUCAUUAGACACACCUUUUCCAGAAAUUAUUACCGGUAGUCUCUAGACACACUUUUUCCACAAACACUCAUUCACUAGACACACCUUUUCUAGAAAUGACAACUUUUUCAGAAAACAGUCUUUCUGUAGACACACCUUUUCCAGAAAUCCGGAAAAUAAAGUUUGCUAAAUCUUGCAAUGUCAACAAGUAACUUAUGGCUACAUAGAAAAAGUAAAAAGGGGCACUGGCAUCAUAGGGACACACAGCUAGUUUUCCAGUAGAGUAGGAAUAGAACCUAAAACUUUCAGAGAUAGGAAAACAUUCUUAGAAAAUAAUUGUUAAGUCCUUCAAAUAGCCAGAUAUUAUUUUACAAUUGUGAAUUGUAUGAAAGUUGUGUUUAUAUCAAUAAUUAAAAUUUUGGGAUUUUUUAACAUCAAGAUCAUUAUCAUGUUUUUGCAAACAAUGACAGCUCUUGUGUUAAGGAAUAGGUUAGAUUUUUUAAAACUUCAGAAUAUACCAGGUAUUAAAACUUUAAUCCAUAAUAUAUGGAAUUUUUAACUUGUCAAACUUUUUGGUAUCAUAUUUCAUCUUUAGAAAUAUAGUAAUGUAACUGUUUAUAUAAAUUUACUGAUGGGUUGCUGUUCUUUCAUGGAAUGAUUUUCAUUUCCUAAUACGAGUCCAAGUUUGAUCCUCGGGUGGGGCGUAUGUUCUCCGUGACUAUUUGAUAAACGACAUUGUGUCUGAAAUCAUUAGUCCUCCACCUCUGAUUCAUGUGGGGAAGUUGGCAGUUACUUGCGGAGAACAGGUUUGUACUGGUACAGAAUCCAGGAACACUGGUUAGGUUAACUGCCCGCCGUUACAUGACUGAAAUACUGUUGAAAAAUGGCGUUAAACCCAAAACAAAAAAAAAAAACAAAAAAUAAUACGAGUCCAGGUUUGCAACCUGUCUACAAUAUUUUUCCGUUACAGCAUCUUUUUGUUGUGGACCUACUUUGCGAUGCAUGGCUCUAUGACUGUGUUUGGGGUGCUCUGUGCUUCUGGGAAAUCUACCCUUACCUUUUAUCUUUUAUUCUGUCAGCUGGAUUAAUUACGUUACACCAUUUAUUCUGGUUUAUCAAACAUGCAGAACUACUUUAACUAUGUAUUUCAGGUACUUUAAAGGCACAGUUAUCUAUCAGUUUAUUUCUUACUGCUGUCACCAUAGAGUGGAAAAUGAAAUAAGCUUUAGGUAUAAUAUGAUAAUUGUUUUCACAAAAAAGGCAAUUUUUGUCAGUAUGUGAUCUACAUUUACCUCACUGUAUUGUGUGUUUGUCAGCUUAUUUACUUAAAAAAAUGAGAUUUUAACAAUGAGAUGAUAUUGUGAAGUAUCACUCAGUAGUUUUCUAUGAGGAUACUACACUUUUGCAUGUAACAAAAUGUCACAUUUAAGAACAUGUGUUGUAGUACAUAAAAUGUUAGGUUAGCAAGGUGUGAUUAUAUUUAUCUGUAGUAUCUGUGUAUGUUUAAAGGGCUUGAUACUGAGAGGAAAAGAUGGCUUGUGGGUUUUCAUUUUACAGAAUUAACAAGUCAUAUUAAUAGAUCUGUCUUAAAGUGAAUCAUUCAGUUCUAUCUUUUUGCAGUAACCAGGAUUGUUAUAUUUAGUUGUUCUUUUUAAAUGUAUUUUUUAGAAAAAUAAACAGCAAUAAAGUAGUUUU